AGCGAACGCUGGCGGCAGGCUUAACACAUGCAAGUCGAGCGGGCACUUCGGUGUCAGCGGCAGACGGGUGAGUAACACGUGGGAACGUACCCUUUGGUUCGGAAUAACGCUGGGAAACUAGCGCUAAUACCGGAUACGCCCUUUUGGGGAAAGGCUUGCUGCCGAAGGAUCGGCCCGCGUCUGAUUAGCUAGUUGGUGGGGUAAUGGCCUACCAAGGCGACGAUCAGUAGCUGGUCUGAGAGGAUGAUCAGCCACACUGGGACUGAGACACGGCCCAGACUCCUACGGGAAGCAGCAAUGGGGAAUAUUGGACAAUGGGCGCAAGCCUGAUCCAGCCAUGCCGCGUGAGUGAUGAAGGCCUUAGGGUUGUAAAGCUCUUUUGUCCGGGACGAUAAUGACGGUACCGGAAGAAUAAGCCCCGGCUAACUUCGUG
rnacentral:rRNA from 1 species